GACGAACCGUACAAACGUUAUUCGGAAUUACUGGGCUUAAAGGGUUUGUAGGCGGCCUUGUAAGUCAGGUGUGAAAUCCCUCGGCUCAACCGAGGAAUGGCGCUUGAUACUGCAAGGCUUGAGGGAGACAGGGGUAAGCGGAACUGAUGGUGGAGCGGUGAAAUGCGUUGAUAUCAUCAGGAACACCGGUGGCGAAAGCGGCUUACUGGGUCUCUUCUGACGCUGAGGAACGAAAGCUAGGGGAGCGAACGGGAGUUAGAUGACCCGA
rnacentral:rRNA from 1 species